rnacentral:scRNA from 1 species
ACUGUAACGUCUGCCAUUGGCUCAGGAGGUUU